AUUGAACGCUGGCGGCAGGCUUAACACAUGCAAGUCGAGCGGAGCGAGGGUGCUUGCACCUUAGCUUAGCGGCGGACGGGUGAGUAAUGCUUAGGAAUCUGCCUAUUAGUGGGGGACAACAUUCCGAAAGGAAUGCUAAUACCGCAUACGCCCUACGGGGGAAAGCAGGGGAUCUUCGGACCUUGCGCUAAUAGAUGAGCCUAAGUCGGAUUAGCUAGUUGGUGGGGUAAAGGCUUACCAAGGCGACGAUCUGUAGCGGGUCUGAGAGGAUGAUCCGCCACACUGGGACUGAGACACGGCCCAGACUCCUACGGGAGGCAGCAGUGGGGAAUAUUGGACAAUGGGCGGAAGCCUGAUCCAGCCAUGCCGCGUGUGUGAAGAAGGCCUUUUGAUUGUAAAGCACUUUAAGCGAGGAGGAGGCUACUUAGAUUAAUACUCUGGGAUAGUGGACGUUACUCGCAGAAUAAGCACCGGCUAACUCUGUGCCAGCCGCCGCGGUAACAC
rnacentral:rRNA from 1 species